AUGAACGCUGGCGGCGUGCUUAACACAUGCAAGUCGAACGGAGUUUUUAACGGAAGUUUUCGGAUGGAAGUUUAAGAACUUAGUGGCGGACGGGUGAGUAACGCGUGGGUAACCUGCCUCAUACAGGGGGAUAACAGUUAGAAAUGACUGCUAACACCGCAUAAUAUAGCGAAACCGCAUGAUUUUUGCUAUCAAAUAUUUAUAGGUAUGAGAUGGGCCCGCGUCUGAUUAGCUAGUUGGUGGGGUAAAAGCCUACCAAGGCGACGAUCAGUAGCCGGCUUGAGAGAGUGACCGGCCACAUUGGGACUGAGACACGGCCCAAACUCCUACGGGAGGCAGCAGUGGGGAAUAUUGGACAAUGGGGGAAACCCUGAUCCAGCGAACCGCCGCGUGAGUGAAGAAGUAUUUCGGUAUGUAAAGCUCUAUCAGCAGGGAAGAUAAUGACAGUACCUGACUAAGAAGCCCCGGCUAACUACGUGCCAGCAGCCGC
rnacentral:rRNA from 1 species